CUACGGGAGGCAGCAGUGGGGAAUAUUGCACAAUGGGCGAAAGCCUGAUGCAGCGACGUCGCGUGGAGGAUGAAGGGUUUCGGCUCGUAAACUCCUGUUAAAUAGGAAGAAAGAAUUGAGGUUAAUAGCCUCGGGAGAUGACGGUACUAUUAGAGAAAGCACCGGCUAACUCCGUGCCAGCAGCCGCGGUAAGACGGAGGAUGCAAGUGUUAUCCGGAAUCACUGGGCGUAAAGCGUCUGUAGGUGGUUGAACAAGUCAACUGUUAAAUCUUGAAGCUCAACUUCAAAAUCGCAGUCGAAACUGUUUGACUAGAGUAUAGUAGGGGUAAAGGGAAUUUCCAGUGGAGCGGUGAAAUGCGUAGAUAUUGGAAAGAACACCGAUGGCGAAGGCACUUUACUGGGCUAUUACUGACACUCAGAGACGAAAGCUAGGGUAGCAAAUGGGAUUAGAUACCCCAGUAGUCCUAGCCGUAAACAAUGGAUACUAGAUGUUGAACAGAUCGACCUGUGCAGUAUCAAAGCUAACGCGUUAAGUAUCCCGCCUGGGAAGUAUGCUCGCAAGAGUGAAACUCAAAG
rnacentral:rRNA from 1 species